rnacentral:lncRNA from 1 species
GGCCUAGUCCAAAAACUUGACACAAUAUAAGUAUGAGAAAUUCUUUGUGCACCGCAUGCGGUGCAAUAACAUCAUCCCUUCUCAUUGGUUUACGUAGUUAUGCUUUUCAAUGUCUAUAAAUGCGCCCAUUAAAUAUUUGCAGAUCCAUUUUUUGAUUUGAAAUAGAAAGUCAUAAUAUGCUUCAGAUGUCAUGACAGGUCACGGGAUAUCAUAAAUAAGUCACGAAAUAUCAUAAUUUUUUCAAAACAAAAAAAUAUUUUCAUCGUUCAAAAUUUCAAACCAAAAGACAGACCUAUAAACAUUUAAUGGAUACAUUUAUAAGUAUUGAAAAGUGUGACUACAUAGACCAAUUACGUAAAGCGUUACGCUCCACAUC